ensembl:snoRNA
GUUGAGAUCUGUCCUGAGGGCUUUUUCUAUAGACCUGCGUAAUUAGAAACAUCUCACAAAGUAAAGAGUUUGUUUCCUCUACUCACAGAACUAUGCAUUAAAUCUGCAAGAAAGAACUAUAAGACAGAG